AGUGAACGCUGGCGGCAUGCUUUACACAUGCAAGUCGAACGGUAACACCAUUUCGGUUUCUUCCGAGUGGCGAACGGGGGCGUAAUACAUCGGAACAUACCUGGUUCUGGGUUUUAACUACGCGAAAGAUAAGCUAAUACCGCAUGAUAUCUAAGACUGAAUACAGGGGACCGUCGGGCCUUUCGCUACUAGGGCGGCUGGUGGCAGCUUAGGUAGGUUGUGGGAUAAAGGCUUACCAAGCCGACGAUCUGUAGCUGGUCUGAGAGGACGACCAGCCACACUGGAACUGAGACACGGCCCAGACUCCUACGGGAGGCAGCAGUGGGGAAUUUUGGACAAUGGGCGCAAGCCUGAUCCAGCAAUGCCGCGUGCAGGAUGAAGGCCUUCGGGUUGUAAACUGCUUUUGUACGGAAAGAAAAGCACUCUGCUAAUACAGGGGGGUCAUGACGGUACCGAAAGAAUAAGCACCGGCUAACUACGUG
rnacentral:rRNA from 1 species